UACGUAGGGGGCUAGCGUUGUCCGGAAUCAUUGGGCGUAAAGGGUGCGUAGGCGGCGCGGUAAGUCGGAUGUGAAAUCUCGGAGCUUAACUUCGAAACUGCAUUCGAUACUGCCGUGCUUGAGGACUGGAGAGGAGACUGGAAUUUACGGUGUAGCAGUGAAAUGCGUAGAGAUCGUAAGGAAGACCAGUGGCGAAGGCGGGUCUCUGGACAGUUCCUGACACUGAGGCACGAAGGCCAGGGGAGCAAACGGG
rnacentral:rRNA from 1 species